UAGAGUCACAGAGCUACUCGCAGAACCAUCCUAAUGUUGAGAUCUCAUUUACCUUGAAGUUGGAUGGGUCCCCUCAAGCAGUCAUGGCCCUUUGGGGUUCAUGGGGGUCACCGUCAAUGUCCUUGGCUUGUGUCUGUCCUUAGGCCUGGCUACGGCUGCAAAGGUCUUGGUGUGGGUGAUGGAAGGAGCUGCCUGGCUCCUUUCUCUAUGCCCUUCCAGCUCCAGCCUUGACUUGACAUCUAGCCUUGCCCCUUAUACUCUAGGAUUUGUUCUGACCCCUACAUUUCUACACGUAAAAAGCUUGCUUUCUUCACAGAGCUUUCCUGCGGUUCUUCUUACCAAGUCAUCUCAGGUCAGCCUUUGUCCUUGACCUUCUUAGCCCCAAGUCUCUGAGUCCUGCCCAUUCUUUGCUAUCUGGUAUCCUUGCUGUCUCAGAACCUCAGUUCUCCAGUGCCUGGGGUCCUGCUCUUAAACUCCCAUCUCCUGGUGCUCAGGCUCCUGUCCGUCACCACCUCCCAGCAACUUCACCUCGCUCUGUGCCCAGGCUUCUAGAUGCCUUGUCCCCAAGGGAUUCCCAAGUGUUGACCCUUGAUACUCUUGUAGCCAACUGCCUGAAGUUGCUUGAAGUCAACUGCCUGAAACCCUCAUUUGGGCCAGUUUCCUGUGCUCUCAGCUGGAUCAAUAUGCUGGACCUUGGGCUCAGCCUCAGUCUUGGUUCAGGUACUUCUACUCCUCUGGGCCAUUCCCCUCAACCUGCUCUCCAGCUCUUAAAUCCCCCUUUUAAGACGUAGGGUACUUGAGGACAAGCGGUUGGAUGUGGCAACCAGAGAAGGAGAAAUUGAAAGGAAAGUCUGAUAGCUGCAUAGAGUCCCCAGCAUUGGAAGGGGACAACAGCAGAGGUGACUCCUGAUGGAAAGCAAGGACUGCCGAAGUCUGGACUGGGGAUCAUGGCUGUAGGAUGGCAAGAAGGAACCCAGUGGGGUCACCUUCCCCUCCCAUCCACUCAGGCCCAUCCAGUGUACUCUCCGCAUGGCAGCCAGAGUGAUUUUCAUGUGUAAAUCUGUCAUCCUCCCCAACCCCACCCACCCUUUUCUGUCCUCCUAGAGCAAGGGCCAAAAUCCUUAUAAGAUGCUGAAUAAUAGGGCCUUUGCCUACCUCCCCAUCUCCACCCCCAUCAUUAUUCCUAUAAUUCAUUAUGCUUCGGCCACAGUGGCCUUUCUCAAAGUCUCACUCAUUCCACCUCAUUCAGGACUUGUGCAUACACUAUUCUCUCUGCUUAGAAAUUAAACUCCCCACCCCGUGCCCUUGAUCUAGUUAACUCCUGAGGCAUUCUUUAAAUCUCUUCUUAAAGGUCCCUUCCUCAGAGAAGCUCUCCUGGUCCCCCAACUAAGCACUUACAACUCUGCGUACUCCUUUCAUAACAUCGUUUCUCUGUUUCCCCGACUAGACUGUGAGCUCUAUGAAGGCAGGGACCUCGUCUACUUUUGCUCACCAUUAGAUACCUAAUGCAAUGCCCAGGGCUCAAGACUUACUCACUAAGUGAACAAAUGAGUGAAUUAAACAGAACUUCGUGAACAGAAUGAGGACGGAGUGAGGGAGGAAUCCGUAAUGAUUCCUAGGUUUCUAGCUUGGCAGGAUCGUUGCCAUUGACUGAGGAAGAAAAUCGGAAUCCUGGAGUGGCCAAGAUCAUUCAGGAGAAGAAAUAGAUUGAGAAAAGAAGAGGGCUCAGGUAGAAUCACUCAAGGAACAAUAACAAGAAACGGAGGAAGUGAUGGAGUUCAUGAUGACUCAUAGAGAGGGAAAGCUCCUGGGAGCUGAAAUAUAUCCAGAUUCCUGACUCUUUCUCAACGCCCUGCAGAAACCCAGCAAAGACAGGACAAGGUACGACCCUCGAUGCCAGAGCUGGAGAGACGCCAGGACCCAGGGUCCCUCUGAGCUGAGGGACAGGAAGCCCAAGGAGGAGGUUAGGACUUGAGCAUUUGGGGACACGGACUAAGGGAAUUUGAACUAAGAAAUCGAGGCUGACAGUGUGGGUCAACCUCCUUAGCUGUGGAGUCCAUGACUUCUAGGUCCUCCUUCAAAUCUCCAAUGGCUAGGAUUCUCAGAACCAGAAGUAGCUUGAAAAUAAAGCCCUCCAUGUUUCCUGCUGUCUCUCUACUCCUCAUCUUGUGCACGAAAUCUGGUUGGCACACUUAUGGAACCAGUUCCCCUUGAGGGUCGAAAGUGGCAAGGAUAUUUCCCAUCUAACGUGAGAUCUGCAUUUUCGUCUCUUCCUUGUUUCUUCACCCGUGCAAAAGAGGUAGUUCCCAGAAACCUCUGCUUUCUUUCCAUUUCCCCAACACGUUAGCCUACCUGGGAAAAUAUGUGCCAAUUUUAUAUCCCUCAUGGGUUUCACAUCUCUCCCCAGAGCGGUUCUUUAAAGUAUUUCAAAUCCACACCUGAGCAUCGGGAUUACUUAGACACAAAUCUGAAUGAUUAAUUGGAUAUUUUGCACUCCACUUCAAUUCAGGUUGUACAGAAUGUGUUCUACCAACCUCUCCCACCCCUGCCUGUGGCUGCAGCUAAUGUUGAAGAAUCUCCCUAUCCGUAUACCAUGGCUGCAGGCAACAUCUCCAUUUCCUUUAGUGUGAACUCUGAGUCUUUACUGAGUGAUUACUAGCCGAGGUCAAAAAGAAAACCCUAGCCACUUCCAUGACCUGAAAUGCCUUGUUCCCGUUUCUUCUGUAUGUCUCCACUUCCCUAGGAAACUGGGCUCCGCUGUAGGCAGGCUGCUGACUUUUUGUUCAGGAAGCAUGUGCUAGGCAUCAAGCAUCAGCUCCUGGCGGGGAACAAGCUGGUGUUCACACCGCUGGGUGCAGAGCUCGCCCUUGAUGGCGCGGUCGGUGUGCCCUCGGGCCCAGUUACUCCGCCUGUUCU